rnacentral:rRNA from 1 species
UGGUAACGCGCGGCGAGCAGCGGGGGUGAUCCGGAGGGUGAGAGCGGUAAUCGGAUGUACUGGGCGUAAGGCGGGUGUAGGGGGCGACCUAAGUCGUGUGGGAGAGCCCGGGGCUGAACCGGGGAAUUGCAGUCGAUACUGGGCAGCUCGAGUUCGGUAGAGGGUGACGGAAUUCCCGGUGUAGCGGUGAAAUGCGUAGAUAUCGGGAGGAACAUCGAUGGCGAAGGCAAUCACCUGGGCCUGAACUGACACUGUGACACGAAAGCGUGGGUAGCAAACAGGAUUAGAUACCCCGGUAGUC